AUUGUGUCGAUAGCUGUUGGAUCCUAUGGACUGUAAGUAUGUCAGCUUAUCCUCCAUUUUGUUCUUGGUUAAUACACGCUUAGAAUGUUUAAUCUCAUAUCCUGUUUAUUAAUGGCCGUUGAGAGUGGGGCUUAUGUUUCUUAUUUUGAGUAUAAAUAGUCCGGACUCUUCACGUGUGGGUUGGCGUGUACCACAAAUCGUAAUCAGUCCAAUUGAUCAGUGGGCUAGACGAUCCAAAGGUAGAGCUAAAUAUCACAAUGAGUUAAAUGGAACUUAAUGUACAUUUUUGGUUCUGUUUCUUGCAGUGUCUAGGAGAUCGAUAGUGCAAGGAGAAGCUAUUUAUAAAUCAAGGUGAUUCUGUAUGAGGGGCAGACAGUUCUAUAUUGAACAGCCACAGGAUGGAGUACAUCAAAUUCCUCCCCAUUCUGGAAAUGUGUAUGGAAGAAACCAUUUCUCAGAAAUCAAAGUUAUGUGAAGCAGCCAGGAUCACCUCAUCGGACAUAAUUAACAGAGCAGAAAUAUUGCAUGCCGUUAUUAAUAGGGUCAAAGAAAAUCUCCUAGCGAAAACAGAAAACGUGUUGGAAAUUGAAAUUAAAAAAAUGGAAAAUCAUGAGAAAGAACUGAGAACCUGGAUAUCUUGGUUAUCUGCUCAAACCGAUAUCUCUCACCAGAACGUGCCAUGCUUUAAAAGAGGAAAUAAUAAAGAACAUAACAUGCAUAAUGGAAAGAAAGAAUUGCUUGCAAGCUUACAGCGGCUUUGUGAAAUUCAGCAUACAAGUUUGUACUUUAAAAGUGGAGAAAGUAUUACCGACACUAACAUUGGAUCAUUGUUCGGGACUGUACAGAAUUUCAGCAUUACGCCCCCCUCUCCGAUACGGAAAGUCAGACGUGACACUUUUCCUACGAUUAAAGUGCACUGUUCAUCUCGGUUCAAAUGUAAAGGAUCCUCCGGGAACAUUCAUGCUAUUGCCCCAAUAUCAGUAAACGAGGCGUGGAUUUGUUGCGGAUGGGGCAGCAAAGAGAUACAACUGUAUCAUACAAAUGGAGAACUGUUGGUGUCAGUAACUUUAGACAUACCCGUUGACCACAUAGUGUCAACAAAAAAUGGUAAUGUUUUGAUAUCUAGUUAUAAUGGCAAUUCAAUAUGGCGUCUUGAUGAGCAGCUAAAUGUAACUCUAUUCGCCAAUUUAUCUUUUAUUCCGCGCGGGAUGGCCGUGCACCCGAGGACAAACGAAUUAUACGUCUGCGGGGUAGAAAGAGAUGGAAGUCGAGAUGACCUCUUGUCUCUAAAUAGAAGACAUCUCAUUGCUAGAUUUUCCGCAGACGGUACUUUCAUCUCGGACAUAACGAUUUCCCCCCAUGAUCCACAUCGACUUGGAUUAAUGAAUGAAGACAAGGUGUGUUUCUCUGACUAUGGGAAGAACAAUAAACGCAGCUUGUAGUGAUGGACAAAAUGGGCACCGUUCUGUGCGUGUACGAAGGUAGACACGAACUGGAGAAUCCUUUCUAUCCUCUCGGAACACAAGUAGAUCAGUACGAAAACAUCAUUGUAGCAGAUUGGAACAACGACUGUGUUCACUUACUGGACAAAAACGGAGAGUUUUCGCAGUUUUUAGUUGACCAAGAAAGUGACAUAGAGCGUCCUUGCUCUCUAGGGUUGGACACUGAUGGUCAUCUUUGGGUAGGAAACGCGACAGGCCACGUGCAUGUGUUCAGUUAUUGCACUUGGUUGUAGACCAUAUUACUUUAUACAUUAUUUAUUUAUUUAUUAAAUCGUUAAUAAAGAACUUUAUUAUG
rnacentral:misc_RNA from 1 species